CAGAUCGCUCUACAUAAUUUUCCUUUUCUCCACACCCUCCCACUUCAUACAGCGGCCUUGCUGAGCUUGGGAGACUUCUGUGGCACACCUGGCUGCUUCCUCCUGGUGGCGCACUUCCUCCACCACCAUCUGCCGCCGUUCACCCAGAGUGGCCUUUUGCCAGGAACUACAUCUCGGCUGGAUAUGUCUUACGAGGUGUUUGUCGAUGUCAUUGCAACAGGAAGUGUAAGCCACGCCUACUUAGCUAGAAGAAAUGGUGAGGAAAGGGUGGACCAGGCGACAGGUGAUGUGCACGAUGUGGAGGGUGCGACAGUGACCCUGGACUGUAGCUACAAUAGCUCACAGAGCAACAAUUACAUCUUCUGGUAUAAACUGGAAGGAAACGCAGCACCCGACUUUGUUAUGAGCGUCUCUCAGUAUGGUCAACCCAUUUAUGGGGAUAAGUACUCCGACAGGUUUAACUCCAGAAUAAAUGUCAGUGCCCGCCGAGCUCCUCUGCAUAUCAAGUGGUUAAAGCGGAGCGACUCAGCCAUCUUCUACUGCGCCCUGCAGCCCACACUGACACAUUCACUUCUGUGCCAUUACAAAAACACCUGCAUGCGAUCCAUAGGACACAUUGGGGGUGCAGCUCACUGUGACAAGUCACCGCAGCUGUGCAAAACAAUUUUUUUUUUUUUCAAAAGAAAGAAAAUGAAAAAUAAAAAACCUUAAAUGAUAUAAACUGAUUUAAAUAAUAAAUGUUUGUAUUAGUUUUUCUCAGUCGCUUUGGUACAUUUCUCAGAUCAGAAUUGAAAUUUGCAAAUGCAUUGCUACAUCCAUGCAAAGAUUCUCUGAUGUUUCCUACAUUAUCUGUUGCAUGUAUUUUACACGGGUUGCUAUUGAAUGGUCUCACCCCCCCCACAAAAUUUAGGCAUUAGUUCAUUGCAAGUCUUAACGUGCAAAAUGGCUGCACAUGUUGUCAUAAUGUGUCAAGCAUAUUUCUUUAUUUCUUGACAUUUUCAUGAAUAUUAUCUUUUUUUUUUCUUUUAACCUGUCCUGUUCAGCUGCUUGACACGGAGAAUGCAAAUCUCAGUGACUGAUUGGUCUGAACAGUUUUAAUGUAUCACAUGGGAGUAUGAAAUACUUCCAUUGUGAUCAUUCAACAAGCCUCGUUUAUUAGGAAAAAACAGUGAAUGGGAAUGGAUUAUGGGGGGAGAGAAGAAAAGGAGACGAGACAGAAGGACAAACAACAACUACAAAUACAUUGAACGCCUACACAAACUAUGACGGAAAGAUAAGUGAUUGGCAGGGAUGGAGUGUACAAAAUGUGGUGUAGAACCCAGUAUUUGUGUGAAUCCCUUGUGAGUGUGUUGGCAUCCUAUCCUAUGCUGUCUGAUCGCUAAUCCUGAAACUUGAAGUUUUCUACUUGAGUGUGUCUAAUUGCACCGAGUCAUGCGGGAAUCCCAUCAGACAUGUGGUAGUCCUGCAGACGAGUGGUAAUGCUACGCGAGAGCUGCCCCAAGGCCAUGGCCCUUCCCCAGCCAAUCGGUGGUUUUAAUGGGGGGGGUCAGCAUAGGCCAUCCCUCCUCCCAAAGCCCAGCCGCCGUUCCCCCGGGAUCCAGUGUGGUUCCCGGGCAUCCGCGCCCCC